UGAAGCAUAGACUCUUUCAUGGUAGACAGAU
rnacentral:piRNA from 1 species